rnacentral:rRNA from 1 species
CUACGGGAGGCAGCAGUGGGGAAUUUUGGACAAUGGGGGCAACCCUGAUCCAGCAAUGCCGCGUGAGUGAAGAAGGCCUUCGGGUUGUAAAGCUCUUUUGUCAGGGAAGAAAAGGUGUUUCCUAAUACGAGACACUCAUGACGGUACCUGAAGAAUAAGCACCGGCUAACUACGUGCCAGCAGCCGCGGUAAUACGUAGGGUGCAAGCGUUAAUCGGAAUUACUGGGCGUAAAGCGUGCGCAGGCGGUUAUGUAAGUCAGAUGUGAAAUCCCCGGGCUCAACCUGGGAACUGCAUUUGAGACUGCAUGGCUAGAGUGUGUCAGAGGGGGGUAGAAUUCCACGUGUAGCAGUGAAAUGCGUAGAUAUGUGGAGGAAUACCGAUGGCGAAGGCAGCCCCCUGGGAUAACACUGACGCUCAUGCACGAAAGCGUGGGGAGCAAACAGGAUUAGAUACCCUGGU